rnacentral:rRNA from 1 species
CCUACGGGAGGCAGCAGUGGGGAAUAUUGCACAAUGGGCGAAACCCUGAUGCAGCGACGCCGCGUGAGUGAAGAAGUAUCUCGGUACGUAAAGCUCUAUUAGCAGGGAAGAAAAUGACGGUAACUGACUAAGAAGCCCCGGCUCACUACGUGCCAGGAGCCGCGGGCACACGUGGGGGGCAAGCGUUAUCCGGAUUUACUGGGGGUAAAGGGAGCGUAGGCGGCAGCACAAGUCUGGAGUGAAAUCCCGGGGCUUAACCCCGGAACUGCUUUGGAAACUGUGCGGCUGGAGUGCAGGAGGGGUAAGCGGAAUUCCUAGUGUAGCGGUGAAAUGCGUAGAUAUUAGGAGGAACACCGAUGGCGAAGGCAGCUUACUGGACUGUAACUGACGUUGAGGCUCGAAAGCGUGGGGAUCAAACAGGAUUAGAUACCCUUGUAGUC